UGGGGAAUAUUGGACAAUGGGCGAAAGCCUGAUCCAGCCAUGCCGCGUGUGUGAAGAAGGUCUUCGGAUUGUAAAGCACUUUAAGUUGGGAGGAAGGGCAGUAAGCGAAUACCUUGCUGUUUUGACGUUACCGACAGAAUAAGCACCGGCUAACUCUGUGCCAGCAGCCGCGGUAAUACAGAGGGUGCAAGCGUUAAUCGGAUUUACUGGGCGUAAAGCGUGCGUAGGCGGCUAAUUGAGUCGGAUGUGAAAUCCCCGAGCUUAACUUGGGAAUUGCAUUCGAUACUGGUUAGCUAGAGUGUGGGAGAGGAUGGUAGAAUUCCAGGUGUAGCGGUGAAAUGCGUAGAGAUCUGGAGGAAUACCGAUGUCGAAGGCAGCCAUCUGGCCUAACACUGACGCUGAGGUACGAAAGCAUGGGGAGCAAACAGG
rnacentral:rRNA from 1 species